rnacentral:rRNA from 1 species
GACGAACGCUGGCGGCGUGCUUAACACAUGCAAGUCGAACGGAAAGGCCUCUUUCGGGGGGUACUCGAGUGGCGAACGGGUGAGUAACACGUGAGUAACCUGCCCUUGACUUUGGGAUAACUUCAGGAAACUGGGGCUAAUACCGGCUAGGAGCUCCUGCUGCCUGGUGGGGGUUGGACAGUUUGGGCGGUUGGGGAUGGACUCGCGGCUUAUCAGCUUGUUGGUGGGGUGGUGGCUUACCAAGGCUUUGACGGGUAGCCGGCCAGAGAGGGUGACCGGCGACAUUGGGUCUGAGAGACGGCCCAGGCUCCUACGGGAGGAAGCAGGGGGGAAGAUUGCACAAGGGGUGGAAGCCUGAUGCAGAAACGCCGCGUGCGGGAUGACGGUCUUCGGGUUGUAAACCGCUUUCGCUCAUGACGAAGCUUUGUGUGACGGUAGUGGGUAAAGAAGCACCGGCUAACUACGUG